UGAUGACGAGACGCUAAGGCGUUGAAGCAGUGUAUGUCAGACUUCCAAGAAAAGCUCGCAAUGUCACAAAUAAAAAGUGCCUGUACCAUAACCGACACAGGUGGGUAGGUAGAGUAUACUAAGGGGCGCGAGAUAACUCUCUCUAAGGAACUCGGCAAAAUGACUCCGUAACUUCGGGAGAAGGAGUGCCUUAUUUAUAAGGUUGCAAUAACAAGAUCCAAGCAACUGUUUAUCAAAAACACAGGUCUCCGCUAAGUCGUAAGACGAUGUAUGGGGGCUGACGCCUGCCCAGUGCCAGAAGGUUAAAGAAGUAGGUUAGUGUAUGCGAAGCUGAUGACUGAAGCCCUGGUGAACGGCGGCCGUAACUAUAACGGUCCUAAGGUAGCGAAAUUCCUUGUCGGGUAAGUUCCGACCCGCACGAAAGGCGUAAUGAUUUGGAUACUGUCUCGGAGAGAGGCUCGGUGAAAUAGACUUGUCUGUGAAGAUGCGGACUACCUGCACCAGGACAGAAAGACCCUAUGAAGCUUUACUGUAACUUGAAAUUGGAAUUGGACUUUGCUUGCGCAGUAUAGGUGGGAAGCGUUGAAAAUAUUCUUGCGGGAGUAUUGGAGCUAUCAGUGAGAUACCACUCUUGUAAUGUUAGAUUUCUAACUUUGAACCAUAAUCUGGUCAAAGAACAGUUUCAGGUGGGCGGUUUGACUGGGGCGGUCGCCUCCCAAAUGGUAACGGAGGCGUACAAAGGUUUCCUCUGAACGGAUAGAAAUCGUAUCUAGAGUGUAAAGGCAUAAGGAAGCUUGACUGUGAGACCUACAAGUCGAGCAGGGACGAAAGUCGGUCUUAGUGAUCUGACGGUACUGAGUGGAAAGGCCGUCACUCAACGGAUAAAAGUUACUCUAGGAUAACAGGCUGAUCUCCCCCAAGAGUUCACAUCGACGGGGAGGUUUGGCACCUCGAUGUCGGCUCAUCGCAUCCUGGGGCGGUAGUACGUCCCAAGGGUUGGGCUGUUCGCCCAUGAAAGCGGUACGCGAGCUGGGUUCAGAACGUCGUGAGACAGUUCGGUCCAUAUCCGGUGUAGGCGCUAGAAUAUUGAGAGGAGCCUUCUUUAGUACGAGAGGACCGAGAAGGACACACCGCUGGUGUACCAGUUAUCGUGCCAACGGUAAACGCUGGGUAGCUAUGUGUGGAGUGGAUAACCGCUGUAAGCAUCUAAGUGGGAAGCCCACCUCGAGAUGAGUAUUCCC
rnacentral:rRNA from 1 species